rnacentral:misc_RNA from 1 species
AACGCAAAUUGCACUUCCUGGUAUUCCGGGGAGUAUGCCUGUUUGAGGGUCGUUUUAAAUUAAAUCGGUGCGUUGCUUUUUUUUGGUGAUGCGUCGGGGUUGGGUUGUCUUAGCUCUUUGGUUAAGAGACCUAAAAUUGACUCUUUUUGCGCAUUCUAGACAUGUAAAUUUUUUAUCAGUCUCGCUAUGCUCAAGAUCAUCCUUCAUUAGGUGCAGUCAUGUUCAAUAUGAUCUCGUACCUAUGAUUCUCGUUUUUCGACCUCAAAUCAGGUAGGGACACCCGCUGAACUUAA